rnacentral:rRNA from 1 species
AUUGAACGCUGGCGGCAUGCCUUACACAUGCAAGUCGAACGGCAGCACGGGUGCUUGCACCUGGUGGCGAGUGGCGAACGGGUGAGUAAUAUAUCGGAACGUGCCCUAGAGUGGGGGAUAACGUAGCGAAAGUUACGCUAAUACCGCAUACGAUCUACGGAUGAAAGUGGGGGAUCGCAAGACCUCAUGCUCCUGAAGCGGCCGAGAUCUGAUUAGCUAGUUGGUGGGGUAAAAGCCUACCAAGGCGACGAUCAGUAGCUGGUCUGAGAGGACGACCAGCCACACUGGGACUGAGACACGGCCCAGACUCCUACGGGAGGCAGCAGUGGGGAAUUUUGGACAAUGGGGGAAACCCUGAUCCAGCAAUGCCGCGUGUGUGAAGAAGGCCUUCGGGUUGUAAAGCACUUUUGUCAGGAACGAAACGGUGGGGGCUAAUACCUCCUGCUAAUGACGGUACCUGAAGAAUAAGCACCGGCUAACUACGUGCCAGCCGCCGCUGUAA